CGAGGCUUUUGACAAUAGUGCUUCUCAGUCUCCGCGCCCACUCCUCCCUGCGUAUCCUCGAACACUAUGCUCCCUGGAGCACAGCCACAGCAGGCUAGAGUUCACAGAAGGCUCCACUGACCACUCAGGAGAGAAGCAUACCUUGACGUUCAAAUGGGAAACGUUCAGAGGCCGUAAGAGCUUCUCAAAUCGGAGGGAACCACUCUUCUCAUUUCCAUCACCAUGGAUUUGUUUUGUUGAACUUCAUAUGCAUGGGAUCAAACAACAGAUCACAUGGAAAUAUUAUUUGCUUGAAAGUGGGACUCUUCAAUUAUCGACUGUGGGCUGUAGGGAAAUACAAAGACACUUUUCUUCCUCUAUUAUUUGGAAUAUUAAGAGAGUUUCCUGGACACAGGCCUGCAGAGGUAAACACGUAUGUUCCAUUUAAGAAACCUUUGCCAGGCCAGCC